rnacentral:rRNA from 1 species
UACGAAGGGGGCGAGCGUUGUUCGGAUUUACUGGGCGUAAAGGGCUCGUAGGCGGCCAACUAAGUCAGACGUGAAAUCCCUCGGCUUAACCGGGGAACUGCGUCUGAUACUGGAUGGCUUGAAUCCGGGAGAGGGAUGCGGAAUUCCAGGUGUAGCGGUGAAAUGCGUAGAUAUCUGGAGGAAUACCGGUGGCGAAGGCGGCAUCCUGGACCGACAUUGACGCUGAUGAGCGAAAGCUAGGGGAGCAAACGGG